AGGACAGAGUAGAGGUUGAUAGGACAGAGUUGAGGUUGAUAGGACAGAGUUGAGGUUGAUAGGAUAGAGUUGAGGUUGAUAGGACAGAGUUGAGGUUGAUAGGACAGAGUUGAGGUUGAUAGGACAGAGUAGAGGUUGAUAGGACAGAGUUGAGGUUGAUAGGAUAGAGUAGAGGUUGAUAGGACAGAGUAGAGGUUGAUAGGACAGAGUA